UUGGAGGGCAAGUCUGGUGCCAGCAGCCGCGGUAAUUCCAGCUCCAAUAGCGUAUAUUAAAGUUGUUGCAGUUAAAAAGCUCGUAGUUGAAUUUCGGGAUUAGUACGUUGGUCGUGCCUUAGGUACGUACUGGUGUUACUGGUUUCUACCUUCUGACGAACCAUCAUGUCAUUAAUUUGGUGUGGUGGGGAAUCAGGACUGUUACUUUGAAAAAAUUAGAGUGUUUAAAGCAGGCUCGCGCUCGAAUACAUUAGCAUGGAAUAAUGAAAUAGGACGUUGAUCCUAUUUUGUUGGUUUCUAGAAUUGACGUAAUGAUUAAUAGGGAUAGUUGGGGGCAUUAGUAUUCAAUUGUCAGAGGUGAAAUUCUUGGAUUUAUUGAAGACUAACUACCGCGAAAGCAUUUGCCAAGGAUGUUUUCAUUAAUCAAGAACGAAAGUUAGGGGAUCGAAGACGAUCAGAUACCGUCGUAGUCUUAACCAUAAACUAUGCCGACUAGGGAUCGGAUGAUAUUAAUUUUUUAAUGACUCAUUCGGCGCCUUACGGGAAAC
rnacentral:rRNA from 1 species